rnacentral:lncRNA from 1 species
UACAUGGAAGCAUGAAUAUGCAUGAAAGGAUUCCAGUAAAAAAGGGGGCACUCUUCCUAACCUAAUGUGAUAAUUAUUUAAAUGAGAGUAGGAUAUGAUGUUGGUUUUAAUUUCUAUAAUAUUAGAAAUGCUGCAACAUUUAUUAAAGGAUCGUACAUUAAUAGUAAAUCCCAAUCAAUUCCCUUUGUGACAAACAGACAGCUUCACAUACUUAUCAAUGAAAAGAAACACACAAAAGCUAAAGAAAUUUCAUCAACUGCCUAUCAAAAUACUCAACCGUAAUACAAAACUGAAGAGUUGAAGAUAACUUCUAAAAAUAGAUAAAUAAAUUUACACUACAGAUGAACUAAGACAAGUUUGUUUCAACUCUUUUCUCUUAUGUUGCACAAUAUAUAAGACAAUCCAAUCUAUGGAAGCAAAGAAGUUCUCACUUAAACCAAGAAACUAUCAAUUUUUCCAACACUAAAAUCAAAAUGCAGCUGUGCCCUUCAAAUAAAUCGAUCCAUACCAAGACUGUAUGAUAUUCUCAUGUUACUAGAGACGAAAGAAAACGGUUUGCAUGUUGUUUCGAAAACUGCAUGCCUAAGCAUAACAACCCGUCUUAGUCAAGAGACUGAAUGAACACAAAAGAAGCGAAACUGACGUAUAAACAUAAAUUCCAUCUUACAAUAGAUAUCCAAAGAAACAAAAAACUAUGACGCUCCAUCCCCAUAACGAAAACAAAAUUGGACUAUUCUCUUUAAAGUGACAUACUCAAAAUCAUAACUAUUGCAUCCAUCAGUCUAGCCCAACCACAAAAUGGCAACAAGCUUAAGAGACAAGAGGGAAAAAAAGGAAAUCCAAAUUUACAUGAGAAAAGACACAGUAAAUAGAGAUAAAGGGGAAGUGGCGGGGCACUAAUAUAAACCUCAUCCUCUUUCUGACAAACUCAAAAUGAAUUUUAAUAGUAAAAACAAUCAUCGAGGAAUCAUGGGAUUUGCUAGUUUUUAUUAGAUGUAUCCUCGUUAUUCUUUGUCAUUUGAGAAGCCAAAGAAUUCAAAAGGAGGUCCUACUAAUGGCGCUACCAUCUCAGCCACAUCAAACUAAUGACGACAAACAAGACAACGUCAAAUACUAACCACGAACAUGACACCAUCAACCCGAACCUAUUAAACAAAA